rnacentral:lncRNA from 10 species
AGGGAGCAGUCUUGUGCGCUGAUGAUCAAAGGUCGGUUUCCAGACAAGUUUUAAUUUUAUAUUCUCCUCUGUUAAAGAGGCUGUGCAAAUCAAACAAGCUUCAAGCACUACAGAACCUGGAUUUAUCCCUGGAUGCACUUGCUGCCAAGUUUGAAAAUAAUCUUAUCUUUGUUACAACAACCACUGCAUAGUUAAUCCUCUUAAGAAGAAUUGUCAGUUUUUUCGAUACAGCCUAUGCUUUUUCAUCUGGUGGCCAUUCAUCACCGCUGCUGGGAGAAGGAUGAAUCUAGGCUGAAAGUGAUAAAAGAUGGUGUGGUUAGGUCUCUGAUUCAGGUAAAUGACUUGUGAAUAAUGUAAAUAUCCUGUAGAAAAGCUCG